UACGGAGGGGGUUAGCGUUGUUCGGAAUGACUGGGCGUAAAGCGCGCGUAGGCGGAUCAUCAAGUCGGGGGUGAAAUCCCGGGGCUCAACCCCGGAAUGGCCUUCGAGACUGGUGGUCUUGAGUUCGAGAGAGGUGAGUGGAAUUCCGAGUGUAGAGGUGAAAUUCGUAGAUAUUCGGAGGAACACCGGUGGCGAAGGCGGCUCACUGGCUCGACACUGACGCUGAGGUGCGAAAGCGUGGGGAGCAAACAGG
rnacentral:rRNA from 1 species